rnacentral:rRNA from 1 species
GCCGCGGUAUUUUGACCGUGCAAAGGUAGCAUAAUCAUUUGCCUCUUAAUUGGGGGCUAGUAUGAAUGGAAUAACAAAAGAUUUUCUUUAUUUUUUAGACUUUUGUAAUUUUCUUUUUUAGUGAAGAAGCUAAAAUUUUUCAAUAAGACAAGAAGACCCUUUUGAGUUUUAUUUCUUUUUUUUUUUUUUAAACUAAAAAAAUUUGGUUGGGGCGACCAAGGAAAAUUGAAUCUUCCUUUUUUUAUUUUGAUCCAAAGUUUUUGAUUUAAAGACUAAAUUACCAAAGGGAUAACAGCGUUAUUUUUUUUAAGAGUUCUUAUCGAAAAUUAAGAUUGCGACCUCGAUGUUGACUUAUAGUUUCCUUUUGGUGUAGCCGUUUUAAGGGUGGGUCUGUUCGACCUUUAAAACUUU